UAAACUACGAUUAGAUACCCUAUUAUUUUAAACGUUAAAUAUAAAUACUUGAGUAGUAAUAGUUAUGUUCUUGAAACUCAAAGAAUUUGGCGGUGUUUUAGUCCUUUCAGAGGAACCUGUCCCGUAAUCGAUAGCCCACGUUAGACCUUACUUAAUUUUGUGAUCAGCUUGUAUACCGCCGUCGUCAGAAUGUCCUUAGAGGGAGUAAAUUUUCUUGAAUUUUAAUUAGAAAUGAUGUCAGGUCAAGGUGCAGUUAAUAAUUAAGUGGUGAUGGGUUACAAUAAAUUUAUUUAUUAUGGAUAAUAACUUGCAAUAGUUGUUUGAAGGUGGAUUUGAUGGUAAUUAUAUUAAGUUUAUUUAAUUGAUUUUGGCUCUAAAACAUGCACACAUCGCCCGUCGCUCUUA
rnacentral:rRNA from 1 species